GAGUAUUUUGGACCAAACCACUACACUAAAUUGGUGUUUCUACCCGGUUAAAAACCAAACCCGCUACAGUGGGCUUGGACAAAGUCAGGGUUAAGAAGCUGGAAGAAGGUUGGUUUUGAGGCUUUUUUUUCUCCUUUCAAAUAAAAGGGGAAUGAAAUAUGUGCUUGACUCAUUGAAGUUGCAAAUGUACACAUAAGACUAGUGAAUUCGUUUUAAAUCUACUUUUUUUUUUAUUUGUGCAAUGCUGUGAUAACUAGAAUAGCUACUGUUACUAUAGCACACUGCCUCCUCUGUAUAGGCUUUGAUUCUGAACUCACCAGCAUUCAGCUCUGUCACAGAUGGCUGUUCCCCUCCACGUGUGGCAUCCCUGCUGGUGGCGAGCCAGCCAGCAAAUCUGGAAUUACAGAAACUUCCCUGUUGUUUGCAGAAGUCGUAAGAGAACAUUUUUGCAUCCAAAUGCCAACCUUAUAUAAUUCCACAUUUGUAUGUGAAGGUAACUGCUGAAGGCAUAAAAUGGCUCUAUUUUAUGUAAAUUCUCUAUCUUGUUGCUUCCUAUGUGAUCCACAGCUUUGAAAUGGCAUUAAUUCAGCUUUGGCAAUGGAUGAAAUACUAUGCAGAGUAAGAAUCAGCUCAACUCGAUAAAAAAGCUCUUGAUCCACAAGGAAUUCAAGCAUAAAGUCUCAAUUGUUCACAUGAUGCUGUCAUGAUACUCCUUAGGUUUUUACCAUCACUAGUUACCAUCAUUAGUUAAUUUAGCUUUAUUUGAAGCCUAUUUUAUAGAGGCUAAAUACUUGCUGUGUAGAUAUCUGAUGAGAGUGAGAGUAUAAAGAGAAGUUAGGUGUCAGAUUGCAAUCAAAAAUUCUGUCUUCCCAUCUGUAGAUUAGCUACAGUUUCAUCUGUAGAAAUAUUCUAAAUUAAAUAACAAAGAAAUAUGUUUGCCUUCUCCCUUAAACAUCAGUAAAGGAUUGUAUUUAUUUGCUCAUCCCUAAACUGGCAGCAAAUUGCAAGACUUAUGGAAUAUAUACGUAUAGCCUCAGAAGAGUUGAUUUUUUUAUACAUCUCAAACUAGAAAAUUUUCUCUGUGUGUAUUAUUUGGAUUGUCUGUUUACAAUAUUACUGUCACUACUUCAAUUAUUAGCCCCGAUUUAGAGCAAUUUCUAGAUAUGCUUUAUUAUAAAAUUAGGCUGCUUCUUACAGGUUUUGGGGCUUGUUUGUUCAGAUUUAAAGUUUUAAACGAUAGUUUGAAUAGUUUGUGCUUGUUGAACUUCUUGAGGUUUGCACAGAUUCAACUCUCAAGCCUGGUAAGGUACAUCCCCCUUAACUCUUUAUCUUUGGAGAUCUUAUCAUGUUUUUAUGAGCUGGAACCUAGCUUUAUUUGUAUAAAAUAGGCAAGAGUGAGCCAUCAAUAGCUUUCCUUAGGACAUAGUAAUGGUAGAUAUUUGAGAAUCAGCAGAGAUGAAAUAUAAAAUCUAGCCAUCCUACCAAGUGACAGCUAAAACAAAUACCGAGGCAGGUGUUCACUAAAAUGUCAAAACUCUUGGCAUCAACUGAUGUCAGACAAUAUGUUUUGUUAUUUCUGGUUACUUCUGUUUGUAUCACUGAAAGUGUAUUUUCAUUAAAAAAUUGCAGUUAAUUGGGAAUUCACACAGAGUGUAAUGCUGACGCGUUACCACAAGGAAUAGUUUUCACAAUCAAGAUUUUCUGCUGUUGUGUUGUGCUGGAACUGUGAGUAGAAUCUUACGAUUUUUCUCUGAGGCGUUGGCACAUUUCUCGUGUGGGAGCCUGGUGCAGCAGCACUGUGUUUACAUGGCACUGGUUUCAUGACUGGGCUUCGUGUUCUGGGAGCAGGUUUCAGUGAACACUGUUACUUGAACCUGGGUCUAUGUGUUAGUGCUCAUUUACGGUCUCAUAAACACUGCUUUAGGCCAGUUCCAACUGGGUGCUAUUACAAUACUACCAAAUGAAAACUGCUUAGCAAUUGCAGCACAGCUCCUCUCUUCCCUCUGCAAUUUUACAGUAACAGCUCUAAAUAGGUGCAUGUGGCUUCGGUUGCCUUUGUGGCAGGAGUGUGGUGGCAAAUUUUUGUUCAGAGACCAGUGGACCCACCUGCAUUAAUUUCUCUGUGAGCUCCCCUGUGCUUGACUCACAGCUGUGUAUCCAGCCUUUCUCAGGUAGAGGUGCUGUGGAUGGAUGCCCAAGGAGCAGCACUUGGCUGCUGAAGCUGGAUGCACCUGCCCCACUGUGAGAACACCUUCGUUCAGGCUGCCCAUCAGUGUUGUCUGACAGCUGGUCAGACAUUGCAAACAAAAUCCAAACAGUCUUCUCCUGGAAAGCCUGCCCUGAAUUUGGAAUACUUUGGUGUUUGGUUCGCUGUAGUAGCAAUAAGGAAAGUGCUGUCACUGUUUAUUUAUAUUAUGAGUGGGGUGUACACAGAGAUACAACUGCUGCGAGAUUAGAGCCCUUUUGCUUUUUUGUUUUUGUUUGCUUUGCCUUUUUGUUUCGCAUUAGUAGUUUUUAAUCCAGUCUUAAAAAAUAGAGCUGGGAGAGGAAGGGAAAAUUGCUUGCCCUUUUCUGAGGUACAAAAUAUUGAGACAGCAGAGAUUUUUAAAGUUGUCUGUCUUUUGCCAGUACAUCAUGCCUUUUUCUUUCUUUUGACUGUGUAGCCUUCCUAGGAGCAACGCUUUCACUUUCACCACCAUGGCAUAUCUUUACUGGCCUUUGGUGCAUUGUGAGGAAAUCCAUCUGCUACAGACAUUGUUAUCCUUAUCUCUGAUUAUUUCAGCGACUUUAAAUCCCAUAGUGAACACAUCACCUGUUAUGAUCUGCAAUGAUCAGCUAUGAUCUGACGGUGCUGUGAACAUAAUUACUGAGUUUAGCCCAGCAGCCGUAUUCCUUCUUGUAUCUGGAAUCGAAGGAGAUGGGGAAUGCUUUCAAGUGAACAAGUGAAAGAAGUCUCUUUUCUGAAAAGAUUUAAUGAUCAGGUAUUUUGCACUUUUCUCAUGGGUUUCGGGUUUUUUUGUUUAUUUUUUUUUUAUUGGAAUGUCUCAUCAGGGAUUCUACUCUCAAUUUUAACAGUAAAAAAAUAGCAGAACAAUUUUAUUAGUGGCCCAUGGAAGUACCUGGGUGUGAGUACAGAAUCUCUUGAAUUGGGUUAUUUUCCCGUCACAGAGUACGUUGGUGCUGUGCUGCUUCCCAUUGUGACCAGCAGGUGGGGAAAGGGACAAGGCAGCAGAGACAGUUCUGCAGCAGCAGCUGUGAAUCCCGAGUUCAGCGGCUCCUGGUGCUGCUUCUCCAGCUGGGAAAAUUGGGCUGGUUGGCUGCGUUGCCUUUCUUUAGAUGAUGUAGACAACUGGGUCUUGAAUCUUUCUUUCAAAGUCUUCCUGUAUUUCUCCCUUUAAAAGAUAACCUGCAUCUACUUCUCUCUAGGAUCUUCCUUCUGUAUAAACAUGAGUAACUGAAGUAUUUUACUAAGUAACUGAAGUAUGCUACAAGUAAGUGGCGUUAUUUUGAUAAUUGCCCUAAUUACAUGAAAGAGACUAGAUUAUUUCAAGUAAUUUUUCUGCAAGCUGAAAUAAAAUUAUUAUUAAGAAGGUGGGUAUUUAAUGUUGCAUCUUUUUUUGGUUUUUUUGUCUGAAACAUUGCUUUGCUUUUUAAAAAUGCCUGUGGUGUUCUAGGUGUUGCAGUAGAUGGAAAAAGAAUGGUGCCUUUUGCCAGCUCUCCGCUUCUGGUGAGCUUGUAAGUCCUGAAUGCCUCCUGAUAAGCAGAGAGCUGUCAAAAUCUUUAUUUUUAAAGGCUUCUUGGAAUCUCUUUGACUGUAGUGGCCAAAACAACAAAUCACAGAAAUGCUUCACAGUGGUACAAAUUAGUGUCCUCAGGGAUCCCUAUGUGGAGAAGUGUCUACAGUGCAGUUAAGUGUCUUUGUGAACUCUCUUUUUUUUGUUUGUUUCCUUGCUCUGUCAGAUUUUGGAGGUAAAAUGAUCAUUAUGAUGGGAAAGAGUGUUUUAAGGAUAUUUAUGAACUUUGUACCAUCAAAAGAAUACUAUAAAACUAAAUGAGUAGCUAACUCCAAGUGUCUCUGUAAAAAUAAUGGAUGUGUCAGUUUGCUUAUGGAUGUUGAACAAGAAAGGUUGAUCAGCAAGAUGCUGGCUGUUACCUUCUUAAAAUGUGUCUCAGGCAUGUAAUUACUCGUAGCUCAAGUUCCCAAAUAAAAGAGCUUGUCAUCUUUC